rnacentral:lncRNA from 1 species
GUAUAAUCUGAAGCAAUGUCCCAAUCCUCAGCACCCCUGAGCUUCUACAGCUGUGAGAAUGAAGCUUGAGAACAAGAGUCUGAGAGAAAAACACAGGAAAUUGUGAUCUAGAGAUGACAGACAUCAUGACCAACAAAAAUGAAACUCUAUCCUCACCGGAAAUGCCCCAAGACCUUCCAGAAUUUGGCCUGGAAAAAGACUAAGAGAAGAAAAAAGUUACUUCAUCUCCAGAAGAUUCCAGAGGUUUGUGAUAAACACAGAUUUAGUUCUGGAAAAAAAAACCAGAAAAACAAAAAACUGGUUUUUGCAGCUGCUGGUGCCCUGGGUAAGGGCGAAGGGUUGGCAGUGGAGGAUGAGAGGUUUGAAGUAGCCAACUGAUUCCUUACCUUCUUGAUCUGUUCUUUUCUCUCCUGGCCAAUGAGAUGGCAAGGAAUCCCAUUCCCUUGGUUUCCAAUUUCUCAGGGAAAUGACAGCAGAGAAAGUUGGUGAAGAAACAGCUGCUUUAGGGACCACAUCUG